AGACUCCUACGGGAGGCAGCAGUAGGGAAUCUUCCGCAAUGGACGAAAGUCUGACGGAGCAACGCCGCGUGAGUGAUGAAGGCCUUCGGGUCGUAAAGCUCUGUUGUUAGGGAAGAACAAGUACCGUUCAAAUAGGGCGGUACCAUGACGGUACCUAACCAGAAAGCCACGGCUAACUACGUGCCAGCAGCCGCGGUAAUACGUAGGUGGCAAGCGUUGUCCGGAAUUAUUGGGCGUAAAGGGCUCGCAGGCGGUUCCUUAAGUCUGAUGUGAAAGCCCACGGCUCAACCGUGGAGGGUCAUUGGAAACUGGGGAACUUGAGUACAGAAGAGGAGAGUGGAAUUCCACGUGUAGCGGUGAAAUGCGUAGAGAUGUGGAGGAACACCAGUGGCGAAGGCGACUCUCUGGUCUGUAACUGACGCUGAGGAGCGAAAGCGUGGGGAGCGAACAGGAUUAGAUACCCUGGUAGUCCACGCCGUAAACGAUGAGUGCUAAGUGUUAGAGGGUUUCCGCCCUUUAGUGCUGCAGCAAACGCAUUAAGCACUCCGCCUGGGGAGUACGGUCGCAAGACUGAAACUCAAAGGAAUUGACGGGGGCCCGCACAAGCGGUGGAGCAUGUGGUUUAAUUCGAAGCAACGCGAAGAACCUUACCAGGUCUUGACAUCCCAUGACAACUCUAGAGAUAGAGCGUUCCCCUUCGGGGGACAUGGUGACAGGUGGUGCAUGGUUGUCGUCAGCUCGUGUCGUGAGAUGUUGGGUUAAGUCCCGCAACGAGCGCAACCCUUGAUCUUAGUUGCCAGCAUUUAGUUGGGCACUCUAAGGUGACUGCCGGUGACAAACCGGAGGAAGGUGGGGAUGACGUCAAAUCAUCAUGCCCCUUAUGACCUGGGCUACACACGUGCUACAAUGGAUGGUACAAAGGGCUGCGAGACUGCGAAGUUAAGCGAAUCCCAUAAAACCAUUCUCAGUUCGGAUUGCAGGCUGCAACUCGCCUGCAUGAAGCUGGAAUCGCUAGUAAUCGUGGAUCAGCAU
rnacentral:rRNA from 2 species